GCGACGGACGGGUGAGUAAUGUAUGGGGACUGCCCGAUAGAGGGGGAUAACUACUGGAAACGGUGGCUAAUACCGCAUACUAUCGGGUAACCCAUAUGGGAUUAGCUAGUAGGUGGGGUAACGGCUCACCUAGGCGACGAUCUCUAGCUGGUCUGAGAGGAUGAUCAGACAAACUGGGACUGAGACACGGCACAGACUCCGACGGAGGCAGCAGUGGUGAAUAUUGCAAAAGGGGCGCAAGCCUGAUGCAGCCAGGCCGCGUGUAUGAAGAAGGCCUUAGGGUUGGAAAGUACUUUCAGCGGGGAGGCGUGACCCGCAGAAGAAGCACCGGAGAACUCCGUGCCAGCAGACGCGGUAAUAC
rnacentral:rRNA from 1 species